GGGGGUGACAUGGAUUCGACGAGGGUAUGGAGGCGAAGAGGAGCAUGCCGAGCAUCGUGCCGCUCGUAAAACGCACGAGCCAAUUAAACGCGAAUACUCAAUUCGCCAUGGCUGCUUAGACAGCCACGCUCCCCUUCAUCGGGCUUGCGGGUGAAGGAUGGAGCGUCACGACAGUAAGCUCGGCUCCGGGUUGGUGAUCAGUGACCGGGAGCGACAUCAUCUGAUCUGGCCCUCUGAGUCGCCGGUAAUCUGGCCUCCUCAGAGGGCGAGAUGCUGACAGGUUACUAAGCAUGUAGCGCCUCUCGCUGAAAGCCCGCGGACAGCGGUUCAAUUCCGCUCACCUCCACCA
rnacentral:tmRNA from 1 species